rnacentral:rRNA from 1 species
GAUGAACGCUGGCGGCGUGCCUAACACAUGCAAGUAGAACGCAGUUGCGAAGGGGUGAGUAACGUGUAGGUAACUGCCUGGUAGCGGGGGAUAACUAUUGGAAAAGAUAGCUAAUACCGCAUAAUACCAGAUGGACCUGCGUUGGAUUAGCUUGUGGGUGGGGUAACGGCUCACAAAGGUAACGAUACAUAGUCGACCUGAGAGGGUGAUCGGCCACACUGGGACUGAGACACGGCCCAGACUCCUACGGGAGGCAGCAGUGGGGAAUUUUGGACAAUGGGCGCAAGCCUGAUCCAGCCAUGCCGCGUGUCUGAAGAAGGCCUUCGGGUUGUAAAGUACUUUUGUCAGGGAAGCGGUACCUGAAGAAUAAGCACCGGCUAACUACGUGCCAGCAGCCGCGGUAAUAC